ensembl:lncRNA
CUACUGGUUUCCCUGGUAACUAGUGAGCCUGCUGCUGCUGCUAAGUCGCUUCAGUCGUGUCCGACUCUGCGACCCCAUAGACAGCAGCCCACCAGGAUCCCCUAUCCCUGGGAUUCUCCAGGCAAGAUCACUGGAGUGGGUUGCCAUUUCCUUCUCCAGUGCAUGAAAAUGAUAAGUGAAAGUGAAGUCGCUCAGUCGUGUCUGACUCUUAGCAACCCCAGGGACUGCAGCCCACCAGGCUCCUCCGUCCAUGGGAUUUUCCAGGAGCGAAGACUGCCUGCGGUCCUGUCCUGCCCGCCGUCUGCUGCAAGCUCUGGGGUGUCCUCCAGGACCUUGCUUCAGACAGUCCCCAUGAUGAAAAGGACAUUCCCUGUGGACACCAGCCUAAAUCAAUUGAAUUUCCAGCUGGCAGCAGACAUGGCCAGCCAGAUGAACAGCCAUUAGAUGGUUGGAGACUGGAUCCAUGAGUCACCACCUGUAGGAGAACCUCCUGACCAGGACUUUGCAUGAGAGAAAUAAACAUUGAUUGGCUAUUUCCCUGGCCACACCUACUUCAAGACAGCUGGGAAGUCAGCCUCCCAGGAGUCAAAGGAGGAGAGGAGAACCAGUUAUGGCAUGUGAACUCUUAGUUGCAAUAUGUGGGAUCUAGUUCCCUGACCAAGGAUUGAACCCAGGUCCCCUGCAUUGGGAGCAUGGAGUUUUAGCUGCUGGACCAGCAGACACCAUCAAAGUUACCUAACUUCAAACAUUAACUACUUCUAUAGCUCUUGUGAAGUUUCACACAGGGAGCUAUUGACAAGCAAGACAUCUGAUGAUGAAGCAGAGUUCUUUUGUGACUAGAAGAGAUGAAAUCCCUGUACAAUGCAGAAAACUUGCCACAACUGUUCUUUUUGUCUUAUACUAAAGUAUAGUUUUUAGAAUAAAGAACACCUACUGCAAAGAGAUCCAACUAGUCCAUUCUGAAGGAGAUCAGCCCUGGGAUUUCUUUGGAAGGAAUGAUGCUAAAGCUGAAACUCCAGUACUUUGGCCACCUCAUGUGAAGAGUUGACUCACUGAAAAAGACUCUGAUGCUGGGAGGGAUUGGAGGCAGGAGGAGAAGGGGACGACAGAGGAUGAGAUGGCUAGAUGGCAUCACCGACUUGAUGGACAUGAGUCUGAGUGAACUCCGGGAGUUGGUGAUGGACAGGGAGGCCUGGUGUGCUGCGAUUCAUGGGGUUGCAAAGAGUUGGACACGACUGAGCGACUGAACUGAACUGAAGUGAACACAUAGAAAGAGAUAAACAACAUGACUUUGAUACAAAGCAAAUUUAAUCAUGAAUUCUAGGAAAUUACUUCAAGUAUUAUUGCUACAUCAAGUGGUUCCAAGUGACCAGAUGUCUUGUGUAGGGUGUACAUUUGACUGUUACUUGUGCCCUCUAAAUCUAUUGUACUUUUCUCCCUGGUUACUCAGGGCAACCCAACUGGGGACCACAGUACCCAGUCUCCUUUGUAGUUACAUGUGGUCGCUCAACUAAAUUCUUGCUAAUAAAAUAUGAGCACAAGCAAUUUUUGCUUCAUCUGGAUUCCUCUGUCUCCUCUUCACAUAAGCUAGAAGCCAAUCAAGGCAGGGGACAGCUAUGAGCAUGCAGAGGAGGGCUGUAUACUAGGGGAUGGCAAAGCACCAAUGUUGACAGCACCUUCACCACUGAAUAUCUUGUUGGCAUUAAGCCACACCUCCAGUCUGGAUGUCGAACUUGCAUGCGAAGGAAAUAUACUUCCAUUCACUUUUACUCAUUGUAUGCUUUUAUCUUUGUUAUUGAAGCUACUAUUUACCAGAUAGGGUUAUUGAUUAAUAAUUUUUAGUAUGCUUUCAACUUAUUAAAAGAAUGUGAAACAAAUAUUUGAUGAUUUCUAAAAUAAAAAUAUUUUAUAUUUCCAUAGGAUAUUUCUUUUAUCAGGACCUUUCUCCAUAUUUUAUUAUAUGAGAGUCAAAAGAAUCCUGUGGUGGCAGUUAAGAUGAUUCAUUAUGCCUAUUUCACUAAAAAGGAAACAACAACAUUGGCAACUGGAUCUUGAUCUUUCCAAAUUAUCUCAGGAAACUAUACAACUUCAGAGGAAAUAUGGUUUGCUUACUAUAUAUUAAAGUCAACUCACAAUACCAUAUUGAAUGAAAAUUCACAACUUUAAGAAGGUGACUUAGUCUUUUGGAGAAUUUAAUAAAUAUGGCUUCUUUUUUUUUACUGCAUUCAUUAACCACUAAUUUAUCUCUUUAAUGAAAUAAGAAGAUAAUUUUUCAAUUAAAUGCAUUUUCAAGUUAAAUGUUUGAAAUAUCAAGAAAUUUUAUAUUUACUAUUGAAUUCUAUUUAUAAAUGUAGCAAAUUUGAAAAUACAUAGAUGUUAAAAAUUACUUUGUUUAUUGUAAAAUUGAGUAACAGAGGAAAGAAGAAUAUGACAAUUAUGUGUAAGUCCAAGACUCAGAGUUAACUACUGUUAAUAUAUGUGUAUACUUUUUUAAUGAAAAUAAACAAUAUUGUUUUAAGCAUUUUCACUUGAUGAUAAUAGGUGACAUUCAUGAUCCCUACUAGGGCCAGGCAGUAGACUACAAAUAUUCUACCAAUUAUGUUAAAUAUAAUAUUCAGUAGAAGCCUGUAGAUAAGUGCUAUAAUUAUCACUAUCUUUACAUAAUGAGCAACUGAGACUUGGGUAUGCUAACCAACUGAUGCCUCAUAAUGAAGAUUGAAAGUAGUAAGUGAUGUCACAGAUUGUCUGUAUUCAAAACUUGCACUCCAAACAUUUUGCUAUUAUUUGAGGAUCAAGAAACACAAGGCAGCAAUGUAUUCCAUCUUAUGGGUCACAACGAGAUCAGAGAAGCACCACAGAUGUCCCAAUCAAUCUUUUACUUUUGGAUAUAUAACUUGUUUCCUAAUAUUAACAGCAUGUAUUUGUUAUUAAAUCUUUGUACCUUGACAUAUUCAUAUGACUUUAUUUUAGUAAUUUUAUAGAACUAGAGUUGCUGAUCAGGACCUGUUUUAAGGAUUUUGAAUAUAUUGACAAUUGGAGCUUAGGAGUUUGCCCUAAUUUCCUCACAAUAUGUGGGAGCAACCAAGUAUUCUUUGUGGAGACAAGAUUUGGUAUUAACAUUGUUUUCUAUAUGUUUGACAGUUUUGAGAAAUGAUUUAUUUUUUAUGUAUGGAUUUUUAAAACUAUUAAUGUACAGUUGUAAAAUAUGCUUAUUGAUGAUUUCUGCUUUAUUUCUACUGAUUUGCACACUUAUACAUUUUUAUCAGAUUUACAUACUUUAAACACUUUUCUUAUGUUAUAGACCUUAACACACUGUGUGAAAUAAAUAUCUCAAAUACUUCUGAUCACACUGCUAAUAACCUUCAACUCUUUUGCAAGUGUAUUUUCAGAUGUACACAUUCUUAUGUUUCUGUAACCAAAUGUAUGAAGUAAAUUCAUUUGUUAUUUUGGCCUCAGAAAUCACCUAUCUUUCCAGUACCUUUGAUGACUAAAUCUGCAGUUUCAAUACCUUUGCUGUGGUAUAACUUAGCAUACAACAAACACGACAUAUUUAAAUUAUAAAAUUUGAAUGAGUUUUGAUAUAAGUAUAUGCCUAUAAAACCAUCACCAUAAAUAAGAUAAUGAACAUCACCUCUAAAAGUUACUUAAUGUUUCUUUGUACUUCCUCCCUUCUGCCCCUCACUUCCUAUGCCCUCAUUGCCAGGCAAGUACUGAUCUGCUUUCUGUCAUUGUAGAUAAGUUUGCC